rnacentral:rRNA from 1 species
UACGUAGGGUCCGAGCGUUGUCCGGAAUUAUUGGGCGUAAAGAGCUCGUAGGCGGUCUGUCGCGUCGGCUGUGAAAACUCAGGGCUCAACCCUGAGCCUGCAGUCGAUACGGGCAGACUAGAGUUCGGUAGGGGAGACUGGAAUUCCUGGUGUAGCGGUGAAAUGCGCAGAUAUCAGGAGGAACACCGGUGGCGAAGGCGGGUCUCUGGGCCGAAACUGACGCUGAGGUGCGAAAGCGUGGGGAGCAAACAGG